rnacentral:lncRNA from 1 species
AACUUUGGACCUGAUAGCAAUCAAGAAAUUAUUUUCCGCAAAGGCUGUUUAGAGGUUAUGAAAGCAGACUGGUUUGUGGGAAAUGGGAGCCAGUAUGGAAAGGAAGACAGGAAAGAGAAAGAAAAAACAUACACACACACACACACACACACACACACACACACACACACACACACACACACACACACACACACACAGCAAGAGACUUUCACAUGCUACCUUAGUCCCCUGCCAGUGAUUUUUUUAACCCAGGAUGGCCAGUCUUAAGAGAAGUCUGCCUCCUGCCACUCUUGGCUUGAACACAGCAGGACUAUGGCAUCCUAACCUGUAGGACAUUUGAUAGCAAGAUCCAAAAAGGACAAAGUCCGGUGCCCCAACUCAAACACCACAGGUCAGCAUCUCAUGACCUAACUUGAAUGGGAAUUAAGAGAGAAGAGGAAAGGAUUCCAGGGAAAAAGUGGGUGUGUUCUUCCUACUCUGCCAGAGUCUAGAAACUCUGGGGCUCCAGGUCCACAAGCUAUGGAGUCUGCCACUCAGGUCUCCAGUGCUCUGGGAAUUCCCCAGCUACCAAGAAAGGAUGUCUCCUCUCCUGCUGGGGCCAUUACAGCCCUACUCUGGGGAAGAAUACAAGCACACCGGGGAGGUUGCCUAGCUGCUGGAGGAGAUGGUGUCUGGAGGCCUGAGGUCCAGUGCAUUGCACCUGCCCUGGCAUUAUCUCGCACACCCACCAGAGUCACCAGGCAGUUCCCGAUCCCAGUGAUCACAGAAACAAAAACGGAGGCUAUGGUACAACGGAGCUGCCAAGCAACGGCUUAAUUAGAAAUGGGACUAAGGAAGAAGACCCAGCAUGGGGCUGCAGCUGACAGCAAGCCAUUUACCAGGUGGCCAGAGGCGGGCUGGGGCUUUGGGGACUGGGUAGUGCUUUACGGACUUUCUUCCUCAUGGUGGGACUUUCCUGUGUAUGACAGGUCAAUGGCCAGCUUGUUCCUGCAGACAUCAUAGCACUGUCCUCUACCUGGUCGGGUUUUCCCUUGUGAUAAGAUAUAAGGAAAUAGGGGCAGAUGUGCAUCAUACAUUGUUUACUAAGGAGGAGAAAGACUCAAUGGUUAGCGCUCUUGGUGGACUCAGGGCGUGAGAACUUUGCCUCUUGUUCCUGUAAGUGUCUCUGUUACUAUUUUAUCAGUGCUUACAGUUUUGAUGUAGUAUCAAGAAGACUAUGUGGAAACUGAGGCAGGAGGCUGCAAUGAGCUCAAAACCAGCCUAGAUUAUAGUUACUUUCUAUAGAAUAAGCUAAUAUGUAGCAAGCUUAUUUCCAUUAUACUUAAUUAGUUAGAUUUUUUUAAAAAAACUGUUGCUUUGUGUAUACCCCUGGCUGUCCUGGAACUUGCUCUGAAGACCAGGCUGGCCUCUAACUCAGAGAUCCACCUGCCUCUGCCUCCUGAAUUCUACCACCACCUGGCAAGACUUAUUCAUUUUAUUUUAUUUAAUUAAUUUAUUUUUAUAUUUAUUUAUUAUUAUAUAUAAGUACACUGUAGAUGUCUUUAGACAUACCAGAAGAGGGUGUCAGAUCUCAUUACAGAUGGUUGUGAGCCACCAUGUGGUUGCUGGGAUUUGAACUCAGGACCUUUGGAAGAGCAGUCAGUGCUUAACCACUGAGCCAUCUCACCAGCCCUAUUCUUUAUUUUAAAUGUUUGAGUGCUUGGCUCACAUGCAUGCUAAGUGUGCCAUGUGUGUGAAUGCCUGACUACAGCUACAGAUGGUUG